GUUAAUGUUGCUGUCCAUGUCAGCAGCAGCAACAGUAGCCGAGGAGUGAAUAUCUGGAUUUAGAGGCUUGUGGGUUCUGGGAUCUAUGCCUUGGCUGAUCAGCUUCUUGCUCAGAAUGGAUGAUGGGCAUAUAUAUAUAUAUAUAUGUAUAUAUGUAUGUAUACCGGUUGCCCAGGAGGCGAUGGAGGCGAAGGAUGAGAUCUUCUUCGUCGGGGGCGAUCUGGCCGCGCUUGACAGAAGGGCGGAGGUAGUUCAUCCAGCGGAGGCGGCAACUCUUGCCGCAGCGGAGCAGCCCCGCCCUCUUGGGUAGGGUCCGCCAUCGGCCCUCACCUUCUUUAUUGAUGUAAUUGGACAAGAGCUCGUCCUCUUCUGGCGUCCACGGCCCUCUCUUCAAACCCACCUUGAUACAACACGGCGUCUUGCUCCCACCACUGGUCCCCGCCGCCUUGCUCGACGACGACGAUGUUAUUUUCGUUGGUAUUGAAGUUGCUGUCGCUGCAGCUACCGCCGCUUUUGACGACGAUGACGAUGACGAUGACGAUGGGUUUCUCAUUAUUGAAGCAAAGCUGUCUCGACUUCUUCUGAGUGAGUAGGGUAAGGCUAUAGCACUCAAAUGCCGUCGGCAAGUGAUAUCUUAGAAAUCUUUGGGGAUGGAAGAAGAUGGUGAUUGGGUAGCUAGCAAUAGUUGUUCUGAUCUUGUUUCUCUGCCCUUCUUCUUGUGUAGAUUUAAUUUUUGUAAUUUUUUUUUUUUUAAAGUUUGUUGGUAUUGAGAGGGGAGGAUGGGUGUGCGAUGCGAGUCCAGACAGAUUUCAGGGGUAUGGUGUAAUAUGCUGAUCACGAACUGAUAACUCCUCACGCGCCUUUCAACUGCCUGGACAUCACUCUUCUCUGCUUUAUUUUAGUGCCCUAAUGAUUUUACUUUCAUACCAGUGGAAUUCUGCUUUAGUGAGCAAGUGUAUAUAAUAUGAACUCUACAAAUCCUAUUUUCUUCUU